GACACAGUUACCUGAGUACGUCUGAAGUCUCUUUCAACCGUCUGUAGUCUUGGCUAAUCUAACAACGAAAGGGGUGCAUGACAGCAGCUGAAGUUCACUGUUGACAAAUGCAAAAUAAUGCACAGUGGAAGGAAUAACUUGACCUGCACAUAAACGCUGCGACUUCUAACUCAACUGUGACUAUGACGGGAAAAGACCGAUAGAAAUCUUUCAUCUAGGUGAUAUGCUACAUAAUUGUCUUCCACAAAUUCAGAUUCACAGUGGUAAAACUGCAUGGCAGAAGAGCGUUCUAUGGAGAUAAGAUGAUGUGACAGACUGUGAUAAACUGGGAUUUUACCAUGCCACAGCUGCAUUCAGCAUUGAAAAGCCAAAGGCCACAUACUUCAAUCAUCCUGGGGAUGCUGAAACUCCAUUUUUACUUUCUUUCUGAAUGCUUAACGUGGCUCAGUAUCUCAACGAGUUUCUGGGGUGUGAGGUCUCUGUGUCAGGAAGUGAUGCUACUGUGUGUAUCCUCAGCACAAACAGAAGAGUUAAAGAUGAAACUUUAAUUAUGAGUCUAGAUCUUCAAACAGUGUCGUGCUUACACUUCAUUUGUUUUUGUUUUCAGUUUGUGCCACAGUAAUGUUUUUACUUCAUUGUUUGCCUGUGAAUGCGUGUUGUGUUUAGUUAACCAAAUAUUGUUGCGGAAGUGCCUGAAAGUUAAGACCAUAGAUCAUAAUGGCAUGUUUACAGUCACUGUACCCUAAUAGAUCCUCUCUGUAUAGCACACCCCUGGUUCCUUUUUCUUCCGAAAACAAUGGAGUUUACUCAUAUGAAUAUUUACAGUGGUAAAGGAAUGUUUUUGUGGAA